rnacentral:rRNA from 1 species
UACAGAGGGUGCGAGCGUUAAUCGGAAUGACUGGGCGUAAAGGGUGUGUAGGUGGUUUAAUAAGUUAGGUGUGAAAGUCCUGGGCUUAACCUGGGGAGGUCGCUUAAGACUGUUAAGCUAGAGUACUGUAGAGGAAGGUGGAAUUUCCGGUGUAGCAGUGAAAUGCGUAGAUAUCGGAAGGAACAUCAGUGGCGAAGGCGACUUUCUGGACAGAUACUGACACUGAGACACGAAAGCGUGGGGAGCAAACAGG